rnacentral:rRNA from 1 species
UAUCGAGCAACCUGGUCCUCAGGUCCUAACCGAGCAGCAGUAGGAAUCCUCACCAUUGACUGAAGGUCUGAAAGUAAAAGGUCCGCCUUGAGUGGAUGAGGUCAUCCGGUCGUAACCGUCGUGGUUAGCGAAGAACAUUGCCUAGCUUGAUAAUGCUUGGUCCCCGUAGGACGGAUAGCCUAUCCAGAUAAAGGCUCUUGCGAAGUACGUCGCCGAGCAGGCUGCGGUUAUUUACGUGUGGUGGUCAAGAGUUAUCCCGCAAUUUUUCGGCGGUUAAGGCGGCGCGCACGGUGGAUUUCUUAAGUUCUUAUUGUGAAAAGCCCCCGUCUCCACCCGUGGGAGGGUCAUUGGAAACUUGGGAGACUUGAGUGCAGAAGGAGGAAAGUGGAAUUCCCAUGUGUAGCGUUGAAAAUGCGUAGAGAUUUGGAGGAACACCAGUGGCGAAGGCGACUUUCUGGUCUGUAACUGACACUGAGGCGCGAAAGCGUGGGGAGCAAACAGGAUUAGAUUUCCUGGUAGUCCACGCCGUAAACGAUGAGUGCUAAGUGUUAGAGGGUUUCCGCCCUUUAGUGCAGAAGUUAACGCAUUAAGCACUCCGCCUGGGGAGUACGGCCGCAAGGCUGAAACUCAAAGGAAUUGACGGGGGCCCGCACAAGCGGUGGAGCAUGUGGUUUAAUUCGAAGCAACGCGAAGAACCUUACCAGGUCUUGACAUCCUCUGAAAACUCUAGAGAUAGAGCUUCUCCUUCGGGAGCAGAGUGACAGGUGGUGCAUGGUUGUCGUCAGCUCGUGUCGUGAGAUGUUGGGUUAAGUCCCGCAACGAGCGCAACCCUUGAUCUUAGUUGCCAUCAUUAAGUUGGGCACUCUAAGGUGACUGCCGGUGACAAACCGGAGGAAGGUGGGGAUGACGUCAAAUCAUCAUGCCCCUUAUGACCUGGGCUACACACGUGCUACAAUGGACGGUACAAAGAGCUGCAAGACCGCGAGGUGGAGCUAAUCUCAUAAAACCGUUCUCAGUUCGGAUUGUAGGCUGCAACUCGCCUACAUGAAGCUGGAAUCGCUAGUAAUCGCGGAUCAGCAUGCCGCGGUGAAUACGUUCCCGGGCCUUGUACACACCGCCCGUCACACCACGAGAGUUUGUAACACCCGAAGUCGGUGGGGUAACCUUUAUGGAGCCACCCGCCUAAGUGACGAUUCCG